rnacentral:rRNA from 1 species
GACGAACGCUGGCGGCGUGCUUAACACAUGCAAGUCGAACGGUGAAGCUCCAGCUUGCUGGAGUGGAUCAGUGGCGAACGGGUGAGUAACACGUGAGCAACCUGCCCCUGACUCUGGAAUAAGCGCUGGAAACGGCGUCUAAUACUGGAUACGAGAAGGGUCCGCAUGGGCACUUUCUGGAGAGUUUUUCGGUUGGGGAUGGGCUCGCGGCCUAUCAGCUUGUUGGUGAGGUAAUGGCUCACCAAGGCGACGACGGGUAGCCGGCCUGAGAGGGCGACCGGCCACACUGGGACUGAGACACGGCCCAGACUCCUACGGGAGGCAGCAGUGGGGAAUAUUGCACAAUGGGCGAAAGCCUGAUGCAGCGACGCCGCGUGAGGGAUGACGGCCUUCGGGUUGUAAACCUCUUUCAGCAGGGAAGAAGCGAAAGUGACGGUACCUGCAGAAGAAGCACCGGCUAACUACGUG